UUUGAAAACAAUAAUUAGAGAAAGUCAUAAUAAAUAUUUCAGGAAAUGAACCAAAGUGUCAUUUUCCUAAGGCAGCAAGGGCAAGACAAGAUGAUGACAGCAAAAUAUACGAGUGUGUCUCUGAAAGUGCAACAAACCUUGAUAAUUUGACAAGAAUUAUCAACGCUGGAAAAUCAGAUGUAAACUAUAUGGAUGGAAAUGGAAGAACUGCUUUACAUGAAGCAGCAAGGAAGGGUGAAGUUGAAACUGUAAAGCUUUUAAUGUCAGCUGGUGCUAGUUUAGAAUUCAAGUAAGUUUUAUUCUUGCCAUGAACAUUUUAG